rnacentral:lncRNA from 10 species
GCGGGUCGCUCUCACUUGUCCCUGGACCGCAGCCGCCGCAUAAGUGGUGGCCAACGCUGGGCCUGGGUGUGGCCGGAAGCAGAGGCCGCUCUGACUACACACCCACCCCCCAAAGGCUUCUGGGAGUCGCGCAGGCGCAGCGGCAGACCGGGUCUCCUGGCCUCAGUGAUGGAAUUAAGAUGACUUCUAUCUCUGAAUCCAAGGGUGACUGAAAGCCGCAAGCUGCAGAAAGGACAAGAGGCAUCACCUAUGUGGAUAAAGACAGCAUCCUGAGUUGAUGGAGAAAUGGCAUAGAAGGAACCAGGUCCUUUGAUGACAUCAUGGAGCAAAGCUGUCUUCUUGCCUUGACCUGCUACCUACCUACAUGGGAAGCUGUUACUUGAGAAGGCAAUAAAAUCUAUCUUCUUUAUUGA